UCCCUGGUGGUACAGUGAUUAAGACUCUGUGUUCCCAAUGCGGGGGGCUCAGGUUUGAUUCCUGGUCAGGGAA
rnacentral:tRNA from 1 species